CCUGGUGGCGAGUGGCGAACGGGUGAGUAAUAUAUCGGAACGUGCCCAGUCGUGGGGGAUAACGCAGCGAAAGCUGUGCUAAUACCGCAUACGAUCUAUGGAUGAAAGCGGGGGAUCGCAAGACCUCGCGCGAUUGGAGCGGCCGAUAUCAGAUUAGCUAGUUGGUGAGGUAAAGGCUCACCAAGGCGACGAUCUGUAGCUGGUCUGAGAGGACGACCAGCCACACUGGAACUGAGACACGGUCCAGACUCCUACGGGAGGCAGCAGUGGGGAAUUUUGGACAAUGGGCGCAAGCCUGAUCCAGCAAUGCCGCGUGCAGGAUGAAGGCCUUCGGGUUGUAAACUGCUUUUGUACGGAACGAAACGGUGAGCUCUAAUAAAGUUUGCUAAUGACGGUACCGUAAGAAUAAGCACCGGCUAACUACGUGCCAGCAGCCGCGGUAAUACGUAGGGUGCGAGCGUUAAUCGGAAUUACUGGGCGUAAAGCGUGCGCAGGCGGUUAUAUAAGACAGAUGUGAAAUCCCCGGGCUCAACCUGGGACCUGCAUUUGUGACUGUAUAGCUAGAGUACGGUAGAGGGGGAUGGAAUUCCGCGUGUAGCAGUGAAAUGCGUAGAUAUGCGGAGGAACACCGAUGGCGAAGGCAAUCCCCUGGACCUGUACUGACGCUCAUGCACGAAAGCGUGGGGAGCAAACAGGAUUAGAUACCCUGGUAGUCCACGCCCUAAACGAUG
rnacentral:rRNA from 1 species